AGGGUCCGGCCCGCCAGCGGUGCGAUCGGAGUGACCGAUCGCCCCGAGGGAACCCGGUGAGAAUCCGGGGCUGCCCCGCAGCGGUGUGCAGGAACGACCGUCGCGACGACCACUGCGCGUUCUCCAUCGCGAGGCGCGCGGGAAGGCGCGACCAGUAGGUGGGCCGAUCCCGGCCCGCGCCUGCGAGCCCGAAGACCUGCCGUUGGUGUCGUGCGGUC
rnacentral:ncRNA from 1 species